GGUGGCUCUCAUCAAGGCUGCAGCUGCUUCCACAUAGCUACUGAGGACAAAAAGGAGCCCAGAGUGAAGUUUUCCUUGGUGGUCGCCGUUCUGUUUGCUGUAACUGAUCUAACAUUUCAGGAAAAGCCAGUU
rnacentral:snoRNA from 1 species